rnacentral:lncRNA from 1 species
UUGUUUAGAGCUGAAUUCUUUUGAAUCUGGACGAACUUGAUACCAAUUGACCACUUUGUUGAUUCAUUGUCCCUCAGCCAUGCAGUUAGCAUGUCAUGGAUAUCUCCAUUUGAUCGCUCAAUGCUACCCUGUGAUUGAGGAUGUCUCGGUUUCCCAUGAACGAUAACAAGUUCUGGCCACAUUAAUUUUAACUCGGAUAUGACCAAAGCUGUGAAUUCCCGACCAUUGUCACUUUGCAGUAUAUGGGGCGCACCAAAAAUUGUAAAAAUAUCAAUUAGAUUAAAAGCCACCUCUGAUGCACAUUUUGAGGUAAGGGCUUUAAUGUUACAAAAUUUUGUAAGGUGGUCUUGAA